AGAGUUUGAUCAUGGCUCAGGACGAACGCUGGCGGCGUGCUUAACACAUGCAAGUGGAGCGACGAACCGGGCUUCGGCCCGGGGCAAAGCCGCGAACGGGUGAGUAUCACGUGGGUAACCUGCCCCGAUGACCGGGAUAACCCGAGGAAACUCGAGCUAAUACCGGAUGUGCUCCCAAUCCAUCAGGGUUGGGAAUAAAGGAAGCUUCGGCCUCCGCAUUGGGAUGGGCCCGCGGCCCAUUAGCUUGUUGGUGAGGUAACGGCUCACCAAGGCCACGAUGGGUAGCUGGUCUGAGAGGACGAUCAGCCACACUGGGACUGAGACACGGCCCAGACUCCUACGGGAGGCAGCAGUGGGGAAUCUUGCGCAAUGCGCGAAAGCGUGACGCAGCAACGCCGCGUGAGGGAAGAAGGCCUUCGGGUUGUAAACCUCUUUCAGGAGGGACGAAGGUUCAGGCGCGAAUAGCGUCCUGGACUGACGGUACCUCCAGAAGAAGCCCCGGCUAACUACGUGCCAGCAGCGGCGGUAAUUC
rnacentral:rRNA from 1 species